rnacentral:rRNA from 1 species
CGGAGGGCGCGAGCGUUACCCGGAUUUACUGGGCGUAAAGGGCGUGUAGGCGGCUUGGGGCGUCCCAUGUGAAAGACCACGGCUCAACCGUGGGGGAGCGUGGGAUACGCUCAGGCUAGACGGCGGGAGGGGUGGUGGAAUUCCCGGAGUAGCGGUGAAAUGCGCAGAUACCGGGAGGAACGCCGAUGGCGAAGGCAGCCACCUGGCUCGUUCGUGACGCUGAGGCGCGAAAAGCGUGGGGAGCAAACCGGAUU